rnacentral:sRNA from 1 species
GUCGCCGCACAUUCGGCGACCGGGAUUGGUCUCCCGAAUCAAAAGGCGCACCAGCGCCCAUCGAUCGAUGCAUGGCGCUUUUUUU